rnacentral:lncRNA from 1 species
CAAAAUGCACUAAAAUAAGUGCUCAUAAUACAUGACAUAGGAUUUAAACACCAAAAAGGAAAAGAAAUACAAGUCUUACGCCCAUACCGACUAGUGAACCACAACCAAGAAUGAAAUUUAAUUGUCUCCAAUAAUGACGAAACAUCCGGAAUAUUGCCCUUAAAAAUUACUUUAUUGCGAAGAUUCCAAAUAUUCCAAGUGGUUGCCAACCAUACCAAGUACUGAACACGACCUUUGUCUUUCAUUUUGAACAAAUCACCAAAUAAAAGAAAAUGAUCUCUACCUUCGACUCCAGCUUGUAACGAUGUCCCUAACCAAGAUAAAACUUUGUUCCAUAUACUCCCUUACUAAAAGAACAUGAAAAGAAAAAAUGAUUUUCGUCCUCAGCUUGUUGAAAACAAAAGACGCAUGAUAAUUCAUGAUGAUUAGUCGGUUCAAAUUCAAAUUCACAACUUUUCACUUUUAAAUACAAACUCUAUUUGAAAUUUUUAGGUGUACACCACUACUGUUUCUCAA